UCCAGACUCCUACGGGAGGCAGCAGUGGGGAAUAUUGCACAAUGGGGGAAACCCUGAUGCAGCGACGCCGCGUGAGUGAAGAAGUAUUUCGGUAUGUAAAGCUCUAUCAGCAGGGAAGAAAGAAAUGACGGUACCUGACUAAGAAGCCCCGGCUAACUACGUGCCAGCAGCCGCGGUAAUACGUAGGGGGCAAGCGUUAUCCGGAUUUACUGGGUGUAAAGGGAGCGUAGACGGCAUGGCAAGUCAGAUGUGAAAGCCCGGGGCCCAACCCCGGGACUGCUCUGGAAACUGCGGCGCUGGAGUACGGGAGGGGCAGGCGGAAUUCCUGGUGUAGCGGUGAAAUGCGUAGAUAUCAGGAGGAACACCAGUGGCGAAGGCGGUCUGCUGGACAGCAACUGACGGUGAGGCGCGAAAGCGUGGGGAGCAAACAGGAUUAGAUACCCGCGUAGG
rnacentral:rRNA from 1 species